UUCACGCACCGCAGUCAAAGCUUCUUUGCGAAAUGAAAAUGCACUCACUCAAGUGGUUUUGCAGGUUUGCAUCCAGAGAGCC
rnacentral:pre_miRNA from 1 species